UCCUGAGUAGCUCAGUUGGUUAGAGCAUCUGACUGUUAAUCAGAGGGUCCGGGGUUCAAGUCCCUGCUCAGGAGCGA
rnacentral:tRNA from 1 species